rnacentral:rRNA from 1 species
UACGUAGGUGGCAAGCGUUGUCCGGAUUUACUGGGCGUAAAGGGCGCGUAGGCGGCCAUCUAAGUCAGACGUGAAAUCCCCCGGCUCAACCUGGGAACUGCGUCUGAUACUGGGAGGCUAGAGUUUGGGAGAGGGAUGUAGAAUUCCAGGUGUAGCGGUGAAAUGCGUAGAGAUCGGAAGGAACACCAGUGGCGAAGGCGGCUACCUGGACAGAUACUGACGCUGAGGCGCGAAAGCGUGGGGAGCAAACAGG